CUGAAGAAGAGGAAUUGUUCUAAACAUUUUGCAUUUCCUCAUGCUUUACACAUGGAUCAGAGCAAAAAAGUUGCGACUUACGAGAAACCACUGUAACAUUUUGAAAAGAGCGUUUUAAGUGCUUAGGAGGUGUUUGAUCAUCAUCUAUCUGCUUCCGCCUUGGUGAAUCCUUCUGUAUAGCAGUUCGAACCGUUGGCUUUUCCGGGGAUGUUACACUAUUCGCUAGCCUUUCUAGCGGGCUCUUAAUAGGAAUAGCAUCAUUUGGGCUAGUACCUCUAGAUUGUAAAAAUAUUAAUAUAGGAAUGUGAAUUAAAAGACGAGGUAAAGUCAAACCUUUGUUUUCCAAACGGGGGAAGAAGACUAGUGAAUGACCCUGAUUUAUCAUCCAGCUAAAAAAUAGUUAGUAAGAAAAAGAAACGAAAAAGAAUAACAUACGGCAUCUUUGGAAUCUCUCAUUCUUCAUGACAUACCUGUUU